rnacentral:rRNA from 1 species
UACGAAGGGGGCUAGCGUUGCUCGGAAUCACUGGGCGUAAAGCGCACGUAGGCGGAUUGCUAAGUCAGGGGUGAAAUCCUGGAGCUCAACUCCAGAACUGCCCUUGAUACUGGCGGUCUCGAGUCCGGGAGAGGUGAGUGGAACUGCGAGUGUAGAGGUGAAAUGCGCAGAUAUCAGGAGGAACACCGAUGGCGAAGGCAGGUCACUGGGCCGAUACUGACGCUGGAGGAGCGAAAGCAUGGGGAGCGAACAGG